rnacentral:rRNA from 1 species
GAUAGUGGCGAACGGGUGAGUAACGCGUAGACAACCUGCCUCAAAGAUGGGGACAACACCGCGAAAGUGGUGCUAAUACCGAAUGUUGCAUUGGAUUCGCAUGAAUCUGAUACUAAAGGUGGCCUCUUUAAAUGCUACCGCUUUGAGAUGGGUCUGCGUCUGAUUAGCUAGUUGGUGAGGUAACAGCUCACCAAGGCGAUGAUCAGUAGCCGGUCUGAGAGGAUGAACGGCCACACUGGGACUGAGACACGGCCCAGACUCCUACGGGAGGCAGCAGUGGGGAAUCUUCCGCAAUGGACGAAAGUCUGACGGAGCAACGCCGCGUGAGUGAAGAAGGUUUUCGGAUCGUAAAGCUCUGUCUUUGAGGACGAAUGUGCUUAAUGUGAAUAAUGUUAAGUAAUGACGGUACUCGAGGAGGAAGCCACGGCUAACUACGUGCCAGCAGCCGCGGUAAUACGUAGGUGGCAAGCGUUGUCCGGGAUUAUUGGGCGUAAAGCGCGCGCAGGCGGGAUAUUAAGUCUGUCUUAAAAGUUCGGGGCUCAACCCCGUGACGGGAUGGAAACUAAUAUUCUUGAGUGCAGGAGAGGAGAGUGG